AGAAAUUACUAUGGGAGAGAUCUAAGAUGACAGUGGAGUAGGUGGAUGUUAUGCUCACCUCCUCCCAGGACCAAACUUGAAUUACAACUAAAAUAUAGAGCAAUCAACCUGAAGACUAGCUGAAGAGAAGUGUUAUAACC